AAGAGGUUCAAUUGACUAUUGCAGACCCAGAAUCAAGCAAUGCAGGACUCUCUGUUUCGCUAAUGGAUAUGAGCUCUUCAUCUCCCUGGAACCUACCUUUUAAUGUGGGAUUAGCAAGAGAUCCAGUUUUAUUUUUCUCCAUGUUGUGAGCCAGUUUUCCAACACUGUCAAGAUUCUGAGACAAGGAUGUUAAAGUAUUCAACUACAAUUGUUUCCCGAUCAGGGAUGGAACCCGUGGCCCCUGCAAUGGAAGCACAGAGUCCUAACCACUGGACUGCCAGGGAAUUCCAUUAGGAACCAUGAUAUCCAUGUGUAUCCAAAGGCUGGUUUUGGAUCAAAGCAAGUGGGCAGCUGACCAUCUGAGUUCAAGUUACCCUGUGGAAGCAUCAGAUUUUACGGUAUGAUGGGAAAUUAUUUUUGUUCUUCAGUGUCACAAGAGUAAUGAUACUCAUUUGCAUAUCCCAGUGGAACACAAAGGGAGAAAUGUAGCCCUGAUGUGUCCUUUCUGGAAAACAUUCCCCAGAU